CAGUCGCCGCGGGAAUACGUAGGGUGCGAGCGUUAAUCGGAAUUACUGGGCGUAAAGCGUGCGCAGGCGGUUGUGUAAGACAGGUGUGAAAUCCCCGGGCUUAACCUGGGAACUGCGCUUGUGACUGCACAGCUAGAGUAUGGCAGAGGGGGGUGGAAUUCCACGUGUAGCAGUGAAAUGCGUAGAGAUGUGGAGGAACACCGAUGGCGAAGGCAGCCCCCUGGGCCAAUACUGACGCUCGUGCACGAAAGCGUGGGGAGCAAACAGGAUUAGAUACCCCUGUAGUCCCUGUCUCUUAUAC
rnacentral:rRNA from 1 species